GUAACAAGUGUAACUUCGGAAAGCAUUUGGAUAAAUCUUUACAGGUUUUUGUUCGGAGUAUGUAACUCUGCCGUUUUACGAAAUGCACAUCGGAAUAUUCUGCAUUUUGGAGGCAGGACGAAGAACUGACAAGCAGUACAUUACAUCUGAUGUACAGUAAAUGUAGUACCAUACCUACAGAAGAUAUGGUACCCAAUGUACAAACUUGGAUGCUUAGGAGUUCUAAAAUGCAUAUGAAAUCAAAAUGCAGAUGCUGCCUGAUCUGCCGAGAAUCUCCAGAUAUCCCCAUAUUGUUUCAGAUUUUUAGCAUUAACAUGCUUUUGAUUUAAAGAACAAUUUCGUUGUGGAGUUCAAAUGCAUGUCAAUUUACAGUUUUGAAAAAGAUUCCAAGAAGAAUGAAAUGAGAGCAGUGCAUAAAUAUUCUGCAUGGAUAUUGAAAGGCCACACAUGAAGGAGUGAGACUAGGUAGGAAUAAUGCUGGUGGGCAGAUGUGGUGCAUGAGGUGAGCGGUUAACACUCUGAUGGACAGAAGGGAAUGACCACCACAACAGAAGACAGUGAUGAGGAGUGAAAGUGGAUUAAUCUACAAAGAGCAGCUGAUGAUGGAAGACAAUGGGAAGGCUGGAGAAGCAGAGGCCCAGGGAUUCCUUGGAAUAUCUUAUGAAAAAUACCUUCUCCAGCCUGGCUAUUCUAUAAAGCAUCAUAGAAGUAAUUAAUUUUUUUGCAUUUUUUCCACUCAGUCUGUCAUGUCCUACUAGAUUUAGAUUCAUGUGAGUACAUCUUGUAACUGGGCCCUGACUACUCCUUUGCUGCCUUUGGUUAGCAGUCCUCUCUUGCAUGGCCUCUCAUAUCCAGAGACAAUUUCAGUGAAACCAGGCUGAAACUCUCCAGGUGUCCUGACUGUCCCUUGUGUCCCAACAACCCACACGGUCAACUGUGCAUUUCCACUUGGUGAGGAGGAUAAAAUUGUGAAUGGGCUGCAUGUUCAGCAAUAUGUCAGAAUUCUUCCAGGAUUAUUCACUGCCAUGAAUACUCUGAAAUAUCAGAGCAAGUAAACACUGCAAUUGAAAUAUAUCUUUGUGUAGGAAACCCAUUGCUGCUCUCUCAAUGGAAAUGAGAAAACACAAAAUAGAUCUUUUUGACCAA